AUGUGGAGUGGGCUGCUACCUCCUGGCCUAAAUGAAAGUGAUGUUGAGUGAAACUCUGAAGAUGAAGCUACAUUGCAGAACUCUGGACUUAACUCACAAGAAGAUAAAGAGGAUGGGAGCAUCAGAAAAACAGAAAUCAUAGAUUCUCGAUAGAUGAACCCAAAACUGAAACAGAGUCGAAUGUAAAUGCCUAUGAAGAGUGUCCUUCUGGAAUUCCCCUAGAUAUGUAGAAUAUAUUUCAAGAAUUGCAUAAAAAACAUUCUGAACAGAAAAACGCAACCUCAAGAUUCAGAGGGAAAAAAAGAAAACGCUCCAGAAAAGAUAAAUUGAGGAAUGAAAAAGAAUCUCACAGUGAACAGUUCUCAAAUGAAACCCAGUGGAAGGAGCUUACUCAGUAUUUUGGAGUCAAUGAUUGAUUUGAACGCCAUGUUAAAAGGAAAAAUGUUGAGAAAUCAGGCCUUGAAGAGAGGAUAGACCAGGCUGUGGAGGGGUGGAAUAUUGAGAAGACUGAGGAACUCAGAAAAACCAGCUAGCUACUCGAGAGCUUGGUGUAAAGAUUGCCAAAGCAGUUGCCUGCCACAACUUUGUAAAAGCCAAAAAGGAGGUUGAAAAUUCACAGGCUGCCCCCAAAAAGAAGAAACUUGCAUGGGGGUUUGAAGCAAAGAAGAGAUGGGAAACCCAAAGUGACAUGGGAUAUGCAU
rnacentral:lncRNA from 1 species